AUUGAACGCUGGCGGCAUGCCUUACACAUGCAAGUCGAACGGUAACAGGUCUUCGGAUGCUGACGAGUGGCGAACGGGUGAGUAAUACAUCGGAACGUGCCUAGUAGUGGGGGAUAACUACUCGAAAGAGUGGCUAAUACCGCAUGAGAUCUACGGAUGAAAGCAGGGGAUCGCACGACCUUGUGCUACUAGAGCGGCCGAUGGCAGAUUAGGUAGGUGGUGGGAUAAAAGCUUACCAAGCCGACGAUCUGUAGCUGGUCUGAGAGGACGAUCAGCCACACUGGGACUGAGACACGGCCCAGACUCCUACGGGAGGCAGCAGUGGGGAAUUUUGGACAAUGGGCGAAAGCCUGAUCCAGCAAUGCCGCGUGCAGGAUGAAGGCCUUCGGGUUGUAAACUGCUUUUGUACGGAACGAAAAGCCCCGGGUUAAUACCCUGGGGUCAUGACGGUACCGCAAGAAUAAGCACCGGCUAACUACGUGCCAGCAGCCGCCGUAA
rnacentral:rRNA from 1 species